rnacentral:rRNA from 1 species
CCUUAGUAACGGCGAGUGAACAGGGAUUAGCCCAGCACCGAAGCCUGUAGUCAUUUGGCUGCUAGGCAAUGUGGUGUUUAGAUUGGCUUUUGGCAUUUCUGCUUCAUCCUAAGUCCAUCAAUGAGUAAGGCUAAUGGACCGGCCCAAAGAGGGUGAAAGGCCCGUGGGGAUGAAGAUCAAGUGGGACAGAAGUGCUUUGAGUUGAUCUUGGAGUCGGGUUGUUUGUGAAUGCAGCCCAAAGUGGGUGGUAGACUCCAUCCAAGGCUAAAUACUGGCACGAAUCCGAUAGCAAACAAGUACCGUGAGGGAAAGUUGAAAAGUACUUUGAAGAGAGAGUAAACAGUGCGUGAAACCGCUCAGAGGUAAACGGGUGGAGUUGAACUGGAAUCCUUGGGGAUUUAACUGAUGAGUAUGGCAUGUGCUUGGGCAUGUUGGCCAGCAUUCGAGGUUUGCUUAAUUGCGGGCCUUGGCUCUUCGGAGUUUGGGUGCACGUUGCACUUAUCACGUGUUGUGUGCCUGGUUUGCAUUGGGUUGGCUUGUCAGUGCAUUUUCUCAGGGUGAUCACCACGACCGGCGUGGUUGUCUGUCUGCUGCGGUUAAACCGAUCAGAUUUGGUCAUGUUGGCUGGGUUUGGUCGGGAUGGCAGGUGGCUUGUUGACUUUCAAGUUGGCAGGUGUUAUUAGCUGACCGUAGUGGGUUUGUGCAAUAUGUCGGAGAUGACGGCUUUGCUCACGCUGACUGGCAAAUUGUGUUGGGUUUGAUUGGCACGUACUUGUUUAGGCAGGUCGGUCAGUAGCUCGAUGGGGUUUGUCGGCAGUUUUGUGUGUAACGUGAUGUGAGCCUAUAGUCUGUGGUGUAGUGGUAGACUAUCCACCUGACCCGUCUUGAAACACGGACCAAGGAGUUUAACAUGUGCGCGAGUCAUUGGGCGUUACGAAACCCAUAGGCGCAGUGAAGGUAAAGGUUCGACUUGUUCGGACUGAGGUGAGAUCCUGUUGUAUUCAUUUAAUAUUAUCAAGCAUUGGUGCAAUGGGCGCAUCACCGGCCCGUCUCAUGGUGUAGUCAUGAAGCUUUGCUUUGUGCGUCAUCGGGGCGGAGCUAGAGCGUACAUGUUGAGACCCGAAAGAUGGUGAACUAUGCUUGCGCAGGUUGAAGCCAGAGGAAACUCUGGUGGAGGACCGCAGCGAUUCUGACGUGCAAAUCGAUCGUCAAACGUGAGUAUAGGGGCGAAAGACUAAUCGAACCAUCUAGUAGCUGGUUCCCUCCGAAGUUUCCCUCAGGAUAGCUGGCAUUCGGAGAUUAAAUAUAAACAGUUUUAUCCGGUAAAGCGAAUGAUUGGAGGUAUUGGGGAUAAAAAAUCCUCAACCUAUUCUCAAACUUUAAAUGGGUGAGAAGCUUUGCUCGUUUAACUAGAGUGAGGCGUUGAAUGUGAGUGCCAAGUGGGCCAUUUUUGGUAAGCAGAACUGGCGCUGUGGGAUGAACCAAACGCUUGGUUAAGGUGCCUAACACGACGCUCAUGAGAUACCACAAAAGGUGUUGGUUGGUAUAGACAGCAGGACGGUGGCCAUGGAAGUCGGAAACCGCUAAGGAGUGUGUAACAACUCACCUGCCGAAUCAACCAGCCCUGAAAAUGGAUGGCGCUGGAGCGUUGGACCUAUACCGGGCCGUUGCCGCAUGUUGAGCAAAUAAAGUGUUAAAGUUCAAGCAUGGAGAGCGGUGACGAGUAGGAGGGUCGCUGUGGUGAGCGGGAAGCCUCGGGCGUGAGUCUGGGUGGAGCCGCCACAGGUGCAGAUCUUGGUGGUAGUAGCAAAUAUUCAAGCGAGAACCUUGAAGGCCGAAGUGGAGAAGGGUUCCAUGGGAACAGUGUUUGGCCAUGGGUCAGGCGGUCCUAAGUGAUCCGGUAAAUUGGAACAGAGACGGGGUGCCUGACAUUGUCCGUUGAUGGGCUUUGUUCAGAAUUGCUGGUCAAGCUUGAACUGAUUAACCAUGACGCAGCCCCCUGUAGCGAAAGGGAAUCGGGUUAAUAUUCCCGUCCCUGCCCACGGAGAUUGGUGCAUGUUGGGCUUUCGGGUUCAGUGUGUGCCUAGCGCGGUAACGCAACCGACCUCGGAGACGUUGGCGAGAGUUCUGGGAAGAGUUCUCUUUUCUUUGUUAGGAGUGCAUCCACCCCCUGGAAUCGGUUUGUCCGGAGAUAGGGGUCUAGCCUCCGUAAAGCACCACCUUCCCUGUGGUGUCCGGAACACUCUUGUCGGCCCUUGAAAAUCCGAGCAAGGCAAUAUAAUUUUCGUGGCAGGCCGUACCCAUAUCCGCAUCAGGUCUCCAAGGUGAACAGCCUCUGGCAAUUGAACAAUGUAGGUAAGGGAAGUCGGCAAAAUGGAUCCGUAACUUCGGCAAAAGGAUUGGCUCUGGGGGCCGAGUCAGACGGGCUGGAAUCAGAUACGUGUCGGUCCAGAUGGAGGCUGGUUUCUUUUUCAUCUUGUGCGUCUUUGAUGUGCAGGACUGGAGAGUUACUGGACUCUGACCGGGCCGAUCGUGGGCGGCUUCAGCUGUCAGUUUCGUUGUUUGCUGUCGGUGCAGGGCUUGCUCUGUGUCGUAUAUGCGGCUUCGUUUCUUUCGUCUGGCGCGCGACGGCUAUCAGUGAAACGGGAACAAUUGUGUAUUUUGGUGCGAAGCACAUGUUGGCAUGCGUAGUCUAUCGCUGCGGGUGUCAUUAUCUUGGUCAUUUCGGACGAGUUGUUGGCAAUGUUGGCAAUGUUUGAAUCUGGAUGUGAUGUGUGACCCGUUCUGAAGACCAUGUCAGGCGGGGAGUUUGACUGGGGCGGUACAUCCGUCAAAUGGUAACGCGGGUGUCCUAAGGUGAGCUCAGCCAGGACGGAAACCUGGCAUAGAGUAAAAGGGCAAAAGCUCACUUGAUUUUGAUUUUCAGUACGAAUACAGACCGUGAAAGCGUGGCCUAUCGAUCCUUUUGAUUGUUAUAUUCGGAGUUUGAAGCAAGAGGUGUCAGAAAAGUUACCACAGGGAUAACUGGCUUGUGGCAGCCAAGCGUUCAUAGCGACGUUGCUUUUUGAUCCUUCGAUGUCGGCUCUUCCUAUCAUUGUGAAGCAGAAUUCACCAAGCGUUGGAUUGUUCACCCACUAAUAGGGAACGUGAGCUGGGUUUAGACCGUCGUGAGACAGGUUAGUUUUACCCUACUAAUGAGUAAACUGAUUGAAGCAGUGCAAUUCAGCCGUUGCUAUGGUAAUCCUGUUUAGUACGAGAGGAACCACAGGUUCAGACAAUUGGUAUAUGUGC